GUCCCCAUAGGUAAACAGGAUAUACCUGCCGCCUCCUAAGCGGCUAUUCCAGGUUCGAGUCCUGGUGGGGACACCA
rnacentral:tRNA from 2 species